GAGUUUGACCCUGGCUGAGCGUGAACGCUANCUACAGGCUUAGCACAUGCAAGUCGAGGGGCAGCGGGGAGGAUGCUUGCCUGCUCGGACUGGGNACGGNGNCAGGGUGAGUAANGCGUACCGAANCUGCCUCAUACUCGGGAGGAGCCUUGCGAAAGUAAGAUUAAUGCCCGGUGUUCCGCGAGGGCCGCAUGGCCUUUUCGGCAAAGUUUUUUUACGGUAUUUGAUGGCGGUGCGUCCCAUUAGCUUGUUGGCGGGGUAACGGCCCACCAAGGCGACGAUGGGUAGGGGUUCUGAGAGGAAGGGGCCCAAUUGUUUUGAGACACGGUCCAAACUCCUACGGGAGGCAGCAGUGAGGAAUAUUGGUCAAUGGGCGAAAGCCUGAACCAGCCAAGUAGCGUGCAGGACGAUGGCCCUCUGGGUUGUAAACUGCUUUUAGUCGGGAAUAAAAUGCGGCACGUGUGCCGCAUUGCAUGUACCGUCAGAAAAAGGACCGGCUAAUUCCGUGCCAGCAGCCGCGGUAAUACGGAAGGUCCAGGCGUUAUCCGGAUUUAUUGGGUUUAAAGGGAGCGCAGGCGGACUUUUAAGUCAGCUGUUAAAUUCGGUGGCUCAACCAUCGCAUGCAGUUGAAACUGGAGGUCUUGAGUGUACACAGGGAUGCUGGAAUUCAUGGUGUAGCGGUGAAAUGCUCAGAUAUCAUGAAGAACUCCAAUCGCGAAGGCAGGCAUCCGGGGUACAACUGACGCUGAGGCUCGAAAGUGCGGGUAUCAAACAGGAUUAGAUACCCUGGUAGUCCGCACGGUAAACGAUGGAUACUCGCGGUGUGCGAUAUAAUGUGCGCCGCCAAGCGAAAGCGUUAAGUAUCCCACCUGGGGAGUACGCCGGCAACGGUGAAACUCAAAGGAAUUGACGGGGGCCCGCACAAGCGGAGGAACAUGUGGUUUAAUUCGAUGAUACGCGAGGAACCUUACCCGGGCUUGAACUCGGCAGGAAGGAUGCAGAGACGCAUUCGUCUUCGGACCUGCCGGGAGGUGCUGCAUGGUUGUCGUCAGCUCGUGCCGUGAGGUGUCGGCUUAAGUGCCAUAACGAGCGCAACCCCUAUCCUCGUUUGCCAUCAGGUAAUGCUGGGCACUCCGGGGACACUGCCAUCGUAAGAUGUGAGGAAGGCGGGGAUGACGUCAAAUCAGCACGGCCCUUACGUCCGGGGCUACACACGUGUUACAAUGGGCGGUACAGAGGGCAGCCACCUGGCGACAGGGCGCCAAUCCUCAAAGCCGUUCUCAGAUCGGACUGGAGUCUGCAACCCGACUCCACGAAGCUGGAUUCGCUAGUAAUCGCGCAUCAGCCAUGGCGCGGUGAAUACGUUCCGCGGGCCUGUACACAC
rnacentral:rRNA from 1 species